rnacentral:rRNA from 1 species
UUCGGGCCCCUAGAGCGGCGGACGGGUGAGUAACACGUGGACAAUCUGCCCCCCGGUCCGGGAUAGCCCAGGGAAACCUGGAUUAAUACCGGAUGAGACGGGACCCGCGGAGGCGGGAUCCGGGAAAGGCGCUGCGGCGCCGCCGGGGGAUGAGUCUGCGUCCCAUUAGCUAGACGGCGGGGUAACGGCCCACCGUGGCGACGAUGGGUAGCCGGCCUGAGAGGGUGGACGGCCACAUUGGAACUGAGACACGGUCCAGACUCCUACGGGAGGCAGCAGCUAAGAAUCUUCCGCAAUGGGCGAAAGCCUGACGGAGCGACGCCGCGUGAACGAAGAAGGCCGUGAGGUUGUAAAGUUCUUUUCGGGAGGGGGAACAACCGUGGCAGGGAAUGGCCGCGGGAUGACGUGAAUCCCGGAAUAAGCCCCGGCUAACUACGUGCCAGCAGCCGCGGUAACACGUAGGGGGCGAGCGUUGUUCGGAAUCAUUGGGCGUAAAGGGCGUGCAGGCGGUCCUGCAAGUCC